rnacentral:lncRNA from 1 species
CCUUAUCACCUUCCCCAGCAUAAAGCCUGUCGUGUUUCAAUGGGUUGAGUGCACGUGCACACAGUAAUAGUUCCGUCCGUUGGAGUCGGAGGGCAUCGAUCCCCCUACCUCCCGCACAUCAUCUGCGGCGCUCAGCAUCGCAUGCUAAGCGGGCGCUCUACCAUUUGAGCUACGACCCCUGCACAUCCACACCACUCUGCGCUCGAUGACGGGAUCGAACCGUCGACCUUACGGUUAACAGCCGUGCGCUCUACCGACUGAGCUAACCGAGCAGGUCUGGCAGAUGGCUGUACGGCAGCACCAAGCAUACGCCACAUGCCGUACUGUACGACUGCUACGGCUGAAGCUGUGCACCGUGCCGUACGACAAAAGAACAGAAAAAAUGCGAUGCGAUUAGGUUGAUACAACCUACUGCAUACCAAGGUGCAGGUAAUGCGUCAGCAACCAGCUGCAAACAGGGCUCUAUCGAUGUAUUGGUCGGGUCCGUGCCGUCAGUGCACACCAGCAUAACACAUAAGAAAUGGGGACCUGCAAUUCAUUCAUGCAAAAAAUGUAAUAAUGUAGCUGGCCGCUCGUCGCUGGCCGCCGAUUGGAAUGCUGGAAUAAAAAAAUACCCUGUGUUCGUGCAUGUAUGCCUUGAGGGGGUAGUAGCCGGCCCAGGCCAAAAAGGCCUCUCGAGAUGCGAGGAACAUGUGCUCCAGUGCGUAUUCAUGUAUGUUUUCGCGGGAAGCCUUCGUUGCAAAAAGGAAACAUAUGUAGCUGGCAAGCAAUAAAAACAGGGCCGGGUGUGGGUGCACUCCCCCAAAGCGACAACUAGGGCCUGCAGACCAACUACUUCAGGGCGGUAGUACACAAACACCCGAAGUAACCAGCACAACCACGCACACAAGUCCAUGCAAAUCGUCCGUUGGAGUCGGAGGGCAUCGAUCCCCCUNNNNNNNNNNNNNNNNNNNNNNNNNNNNNNNNNNNNNNNNNNNNNNNNNNCUAUGAGAUUGUGUGAAGAAGGGGGCAAUAGCUUCAUCCGUGGCCACCACUAGCCUGGCAGUGUUUACCUUCCCGGGUGUGUUUGGGUGCACCCUCAUGCUCAUGCUUCUGACCCAUGCCGACUUCUGAAACGUCAGUGGCAUUUUCGGGUCCAGCACGCACCAUCAGCACAUCCCGUGGAAUCUGUGCCUGGAAUCAACGGCGGCAGCAGCAAGUUUCCACUCCGGGUCGGCUUUUGCAGGUGUGUCACUACACCAGUGGUUCCAUCAUCUCGGCCAUCAGCAAUGGAAUCGAUUGGCAUCCAUCCAGCCUCUUCUGUUCAAGAAUCUGUCCCGGGAUCACUUCCAAAACAGCCUUCCCGGGACAGCACACUCUGUACCUUCCUUCCUUAUCACCUUCCCCAGCAUAAAGCCUGUCGUGUUUCAAUGGGUUGAGUGCACGUGCACACAGUAAUAGUUCUGUCCGUUGGAGUCGGAGGGCAUCGAUCCCCCUACCUCCCGCACAUCAUCUGCAGCGCUCAGCAUCGCAUGCUAAGCGGGCGCUCUACCAUUUGAGCUACGACCCCUGCACAUCCUCACCACUCUACGCUCGAUGACGGGAUCGAACCGUCGACCUUACGGUUAACAGCCGUGCGCUCUACCGACUGAGCUAACCGAGCAGGUCUGGCAGAUGGAUGUAUGACAGCACCAAGCAUACGCCACAUGCCGUACUGUACGACUGCUACGGCUGAACCUGUGCACCGUGCCGUACGACAAAAGAACAGAAAAAAUGCGAUGCGAUUAGGUUGAUACAACCUACUGCAUACCAAGGUGCAGGUAAUGCGUCAGCAACCAGCUGCAAACAGGGCUCUAUCGAUGUAUUGGUCGGGUCCGUGCCGUCAGUGCACACCAGCAUAACACAUAAGAAAUGGGGACCUGCAAUUCAUUCAUGCAAAAAAUGUAAUAAUGUAGCUGGCCGCUCGUCGCUGGCCGCCGAUUGGAAUGCUGGAAUAAAAAAAUACCCUGUGUUCGUGCAUGUAUGCCUUGAGGGGGUAGUAGCCGGCCCAGGCCAAAAAGGCCUCUCGAGAUGCGAGGAACAUGUGCUCCAGUGCGUAUUCAUGUAUGUUUUCGCGGGAAGCCUUCGUUGCAAAAAGGAAACAUAUGUAGCUGGCAAGCAAUGAAAACAGGGCCGGGUGUGGGUGCACUCCCCCGAAGCGACAACUAGGGCCUGCAGACCAACUACUUCAGGGCGGUAGUACCCAAACACCCGAAGUAACCAGCACAACCACGCACACAAGUCCAUGCAAAUCGUACAGCGGCACUCCCAAUUCACAGGAAACUUUAGUUUUCUCGACGCUUCGCUUACAAAGCUAUGAGAUUGUGUGAAGAAGGGGGCAAUAGCUUCAUCCGUGGCCACCACUAGCCUGGCAGUGUUUACCUUCCCGGGUGUGUUUGGGUGCACCCUCAUGCUCAUGCUUUUGACCCAUGCCGACUUCUGAAACGUCAGUGGCAUUUUCGGGUCCAGCACGCACCAUCAGCACAUCCCGUGGAAUCUGUGCCUGGAAUCAACGGCGGCAGCAGCAAGUUUCCACUCCGGGUCGGCUUUUGCAGGUGUGUCACUACACCAGUGGUUCCAUCAUCUCGGCCAUCAGCAAUGGAAUCGAUUGGCAUCCAUCCAGCCUCUUCUGUUCAAGAAUCUGUCCCGGGAUCACUUCCAAAACAGCCUUCCCGGGACAGCACACUCUGUACCUUCCUUCCUUAUCACCUUCCCCAGCAUAAAGCCUGUCGUGUUUCAAUGGGUUGAGUGCACGUGCACACAGUAAUAGUUCCGUCCGUUGGAGUCGGAGGGCAUCGAUCCCCCUACCUCCCGCACAUCAUCUGCGGCGCUCAGCAUCGCAUGCUAAGCGGGCGCUCUACCAUUUGAGCUACGACCCCUGCACAUCCACACCACUCUGCGCUCGAUGACGGGAUCGAACCGUCGACCUUACGGUUAACAGCCGUGCGCUCUACCGACUGAGCUAACCGAGCAGGUCUGGCAGAUGGCUGUACGGCAGCACCAAGCAUACGCCACAUGCCGUACUGUACGACUGCUACGGCUGAAGCUGUGCACCGUGCCGUACGACAAAAGAACAGAAAAAAUGCGAUGCGAUUAGGUUGAUACAACCUACUGCAUACCAAGGUGCAGGUAAUGCGUCAGCAACCAGCUGCAAACAGGGCUCUAUCGAUGUAUUGGUCGGGUCCGUGCCGUCAGUGCACACCAG